rnacentral:rRNA from 1 species
GAUGAACGCUGGCGGCGUGCCUAAUACAUGCAAGUCGAGCGAACAGACGAGGAGCUUGCUCCUCUGACGUUAGCGGCGGACGGGUGAGUAACACGUGGAUAACCUACCUAUAAGACUGGGAUAACUUCGGGAAACCGGAGCUAAUACCGGAUAACAUGUUGAACCGCAUGGUUCAACAGUGAAAGACGGUCUUGCUGUCACUUAUAGAUGGAUCCGCGCCGCAUUAGCUAGUUGGUAAGGUAACGGCUUACCAAGGCAACGAUGCGUAGCCGACCUGAGAGGGUGAUCGGCCACACUGGAACUGAGACACGGUCCAGACUCCUACGGGAGGCCGCAGUAGGGAAUCUUCCGCAAUGGGCGAAAGCCUGACGGAGCAACGCGGCGUGAGUGAUGAAGGUCUUCGGAUCGUAAAACUCUGUUAUUAGGGAAGAACAAAUGUGUAAGUAACUAUGCACGUAUUGACGGUACCUAAUCAGAAAGCAACGGCUAACUACGUG